rnacentral:rRNA from 1 species
CAGCAGCCGCGGUAAUACGGAGGGCGCGAGCGUUGUCCGGAUUCACUGGGCGUAAAGCGUGCGCAGGCGGUUCGGAAAGAAAGAUGUGAAAUCCCAGAGCUUAACUUUGGAACUGCAUUUUUAACUACCGGGCUAGAGUGUGUCAGAGGGAGGUGGAAUUCCGCGUGUAGCAGUGAAAUGCGUAGAUAUGCGGAGGAACACCGAUGGCGAAGGCAGCCUCCUGGGAUAACACCGACGCUCAUGCACGAAAGCGUGGGGAGCAAACAGGAUUAGAUACCCUGGUAGUCCACGCCCUAAACGAUGUCAACUAGCUGUUGGGGCCUUCGGGCCUUGGUAGCGCAGCUAACGCGUGAAGUUGACCGCCUGGGGAGUACGGUCGCAAGAUUAAAACUUAAAGGAAUUGGCGGG